rnacentral:rRNA from 1 species
GACGAACGCUGGCGGCGUGCUUAACACAUGCAAGUCGAACGGUGAAGGGACCGGUUUUUGCUGGUCCUGGAUGAGUGGCGAACGGGUGAGUAACACGUGAGUAACCUGCCCCCUUCUUCUGGAUAACCGCAUGAAAGUGUGGCUAAUACGGGAUAUUCUGCGCCUGCUGCAUGGUGGGUGUGGGAAAGAUAUUGUUUCGGUGGGGGAUGGGCUCGCGGCCUAUCAGCUUGUUGGUGGGGUGAUGGCCUACCAAGGCGGUGACGGGUAGCCGGCCUGAGAGGGUGGACGGUCACACUGGGACUGAGACACGGCCCAGACUCCUACGGGAGGCAGCAGUGGGGAAUAUUGCACAAUGGGCGCAAGCCUGAUGCAGCGACGCCGCGUGAGGGAUGGAGGCCUGCGGGUUGUAAACCUCUUUCGCCAGUGAAGCAGGCCUGUCCCUUUUGUGGGUGGGUUGACGGUAGCUGGAUAAGAAGCGCCGGCUAACUACGUG